GCUCUAGUUGCACCUAGUUUGGAGCCACGUUUCUACCUAUGGGCUGAACUGUAGUUGUCACCUUGCGGGUAAAGCCACGUAUUUACUUUGAGAAAAUUAGAGUGUUCAAAGCAGUCCAGCCGCCGGCAUACUGCAGCUAAGAAUAAUGGAAUAGGGCUCCAGUUCUAUUUUGUUGGUUUUCGGAAACGGGGCCAUGAUUAAGAGGGACGGCCAGAGGCAUUCCUAUUGUGCCGCUAGAGGUGAAAUUCUUGGACCAGCGCAAGAUGGCCUAGAGCGAAAGCAUUUGCCGAGAAUGUUUUCAUUAAUCAAGAAUGAAAGUCGGAGGUUCGAAGACGAUCAGAUACCAUCGUAGUUCCGACCAUAAACGAUGCCGACUGGUGAUCUGGCGACGUUAUUCCCGUGACCCGCCGGGCAGCUCCUGGGAAACCCAAGUCUUUGGGU
rnacentral:ncRNA from 1 species